rnacentral:rRNA from 1 species
GCAGUCGAGCGGAUGAAGGGAGCUUGCUCCCUGAUUCAGCGGCGGACGGGUGAGUAAUGCCUAGGAAUCUGCCUGGUAGUGGGGGACAACGUCUCGAAAGGGACGCUAAUACCGCAUACGUCCUACGGGAGAAAGCAGGGGACCUUCGGGCCUUGCGCUAUCAGAUGAGCCUAGGUCGGAUUAGCUAGUUGGUGAGGUAAUGGCUCACCAAGGCGACGAUCCGUAACUGGUCUGAGAGGAUGAUCAGUCACACUGGAACUGAGACACGGUCCAGACUCCUACGGGAGGCAGCAGUGGGGAAUAUUGGACAAUGGGCGAAAGCCUGAUCCAGCCAUGCCGCGUGUGUGAAGAAGGUCUUCGGAUUGUAAAGCACUUUAAGUUGGGAGGAAGGGUUGUAAAUUAAUACUCUGCUGUUUUGACGUUACCGACAGAAUAAGCACCGGCUAACUCUGUGCCAGCAGCCGCGGUAAUACAGAGGGUGCAAGCGUUAAUCGGAAUUACUGGGCGUAAAGCGCGCGUAGGUGGUUUGUUAAGUUGGAUGUGAAAGCCCCGGGCUCAACCUGGGAACUGCAUUCAAAACUGACAAGCUAGAGUAUGGUAGAGGGUGGUGGAAUUUCCUGUGUAGCGGUGAAAUGCGUAGAUAUAGGAAGGAACACCAGUGGCGAAGGCGACC